rnacentral:rRNA from 1 species
ACGAAGGUUUUUGGAUCGUAAACCCCUUUUGUCAAGGAAGAAGCUCUGACGGUACUUGACGAAUAAGCCUCGGCUAACUCCGUGCCAGCAGCCGCGGUAAUACGGAGGAGGCAAGCGUUAUCCGGAAUGAUUGGGCGUAAAGCGUCUGUAGGUGGCCAGCUAAGUCUGCUGUUAAAGAUCACAGCUCAACUGUGGGAAGGCAGUGGAAACUGGCAAGCUAGAGGUUGGUAGGGGUAAAGGGAAUUCCCGGUGUAGCGGUGAAAUGCGUAGAUAUCGGGAAGAACACCGGUGGCGAAAGCGCUUUACUGGGCCAGACCUGACACUGAAGGACGAAAGCUAGGGGAGCGAAAGGGAUUAGAUACCCCUGUAGUC